ensembl:antisense Gm43278 predicted gene 43278
UCAUCCAUCUCCGGGAUUCCCCAUCAGUCUUGCCACCUGGCCGGCAGGGUCCCGCAGAUUGUGGACAGCGUGGGACCAGCGAGGGGCAGCGUGGGACCGGCGAGGGGCCCCUUACCUCCAGGCUGCGCGGGAUGGAGGAGGUUGAGCAAGAGGAUCAGCAAGACGCCAGGCUGCGGGACUACCGCUGUCAGACCCGCCAUCUCGGGGAGGACUGCCCCAGCCUGCUCUCAGCGCCUCGUUUUAUCCCCAAAGCGUAAUUGCUGCCUGGACCCUUCAGAAGAACAGAACCAUGGAUCGAGUACACAUUAAAGGGGAAUUUAUUAGACUGGCCUACAUGAUAUGGUUGGAGUUCUCAAGCCAUGACUGCCUCACACCACAGAGAUGCAGAACUUGAUGUUGCUCGGUCCAAGAGACUGGAGGUUUCAACAGACCCAAUCUGGUACCAAAAGCCUGGAGGAUAGAGAUCUGCCUGCCUCUGCCUUCCUAGUGAUUGGGGUUAAAGACAUAUGCCACCACAGCCAGCCCCAAACCUUUUUUUUUUUUUAAAGAAAAGACUUAUUUUAAUUUGGUGAAUACCUAUACUAGCAUAAAUGUACAUACGCUCCACGUAUUCACCAAAAUUAGACGGAGGUACUGGAUCCCUGGAAUUACAGAUAAGCAUCUUGAGCUGCCUCGGGUGGAUGUUGGAAUUGGAACUUCACCUCUCUGAUAGAGCACAUGGAUGAUGGCUUCCCUAUGCCCACAUGGAUGGAGCCCUCUUCAGUGAACUCCCCUAGUCAUACACUCUAGCACCUUCCUUGACAUCAAAGCCAUAGGCAAUUGGCAGAAUCGCAUACAAAUGGCUGGGAGGAGCCACUGGAAACUCAGAAAAAGUUCUCAUGUGCUCCGCAAAAAAAGGCAGAGAUCAUCAGAUGGAUAAGAGAAUGAGCCCCAGAUACGCUGCCUACAAGAAACCAAUAAUUUAUGUGAUGACACAAAUAAGUUAAAAGUGAAUGACAAAGGCUGGCGAGAUGGCUCAGCAGACAUGGGGAAUCGAACUCAGAUCAUCAGUCAAGCUUGGCCACAAGUCCUUACUGAUUAGCAGAGCUGUCUCCCUGGCCCACCGGAACAUCUUUUGUAGACGAAUUGAUUUGAUCUUGAAAUAAUCAGCCUAAAAUUGCUGCCGGCCAAGUGAGCUGACAUCAUUCAUUCUUGUGUCAAUUCACCAAUAUUGGAUUUAAAGGACCAUCACAUCCAUUAAGACGUAAUCUUAGAUUAAUCAAGAUCAACAAAGAAUUCUUUGGAUUUUUCUUUUAAGCUCCGUAACCGGCUUAGAGAGCGCGCCUGGGUAUGAUUAAAACCUCGCGUAGACUGAUUCAUCUCAGAAAAAAUGUGCAAAACAAUGUUUGUUGUAUUAAGAAAAAUAUUCAAUUUCAAUAUUAAAUGUUAAGCCUGC